GACGAACGCUGGCGGCGUGCUUAACACAUGCAAGUCGAACGGAAAGGCCCUGCUUUUGUGGGGUGCUCGAGUGGCGCACGGGUGAGUAACACGUGAGUAACCUGCCCUUGACUUUGGGAUAACUUCAGGAAACUGGGGCUAAUACCGGAGAGGAGCUCCUGCUGCAUGGUGGGGGUUGGAAAGUUUCGGCGGUUGGGGCUGGACUCGAGGCUUAUCAGCUUGUUUGUGGGGUAGGGGUGUCCAAGGGGUUUGACGGGUAGCCGGCCUGGGAGGGUAGCCGGGCACAUGGGUCCUGCGGUAGGCACCAGACGCCUACGGGCGGCAGUAGGCGGGAAUAUUGCACAAUGGGCGGAAGCCUGAUGCAGCAACGUCGCGUUCGGAAAGACGGCCUUCGGGUUGUAAACCGCUUUCGCCUGUGACGAAGCGUGAGUGACGGUAAUGGGUAAAGAAGCACCGGCUAACUACGUG
rnacentral:rRNA from 1 species